GACCUACCUCUUAGUGGGGGAUAACGGUUGGAAACGACCGCUAAUACCGCAUACGCCCUUCGGGGGAAAGAUUUAUCGCUAAGAGAUGGACCCGCGUUGGAUUAGAUAGUUGGUGAGGUAACGGCUCACCAAGUCAGCGAUCCAUAGCUGGUUUGAGAGGAUGAUCAGCCACACUGGGACUGAGACACGGCCCAGACUCCUACGGGAGGCAGCAGUGGGGAAUAUUGGACAAUGGGGGCAACCCUGAUCCAGCCAUGCCGCGUGAGUGAAGAAGGCCUUCGGGUUGUAAAGCUCUUU
rnacentral:rRNA from 1 species